rnacentral:rRNA from 1 species
GACAGAGGUGCCAAGCGUUAGGCGGAAUCACUGGGCUUAAAGCGUGUGUAGGCGGAACGUUAAGUGCCUUGUGAAAUCCCACGGCUCAACCGUGGAACUGCUGGGCAUACUGGCGUAUUCUGGCCAACUCAGGGGCACUGGGAACAAAGCGGUGGAGCGGUGAAAUGCGUAGAUAUCAGGAGGAACACCAGCGGUGUAGACGGCUUUCUGGACCAUUGCUGACGCUGAGACACGAAAGCGUGGGUAGCAAACAGG